AGUAGUUGAUCUGCUCAGACGACGCUGGCGGCGUGCUUAACACAUGCAAGUCGAACGAUGACGACAGGGCUUGCCUUGUCUGAUUAGUGGCGAACGGGUGAGUAACACGUGAGUAACCUGCCCCCUCUUCGGGAUAACCUCGGGAAAUCGGGGCUAAUACCGGAUAUGACUUCGCGCCGCAUGGUGUGUUGUGGAAAGUUUUUCGGUGGGGGAUGGACUCGCGGCCUAUCAGUUUGUUGGUGAGGUAAUGGCUCACCAAGGCGAUGACGGGUAGCCGGCCUGAGAGGGCGACCGGCCACACUGGGACUGAGACACGGCCCAGACUCCUACGGGAGGCAGCAGUGGGGAAUAUUGCACAAUGGGCGGAAGCCUGAUGCAGCGACGCCGCGUGGGGGAUGACGGCCUUCGGGUUGUAAACCUCUUUCAGCAGGGAAGAAGCGAGAGUGACGGUACCUGCAGAAGAAGCGCCGGCUAACUACGUG
rnacentral:rRNA from 1 species